GUAGGGGGCAAGCGUUAUCCGGAUUUACUGGGUGUAAAGGGAGCGUAGACGGCGUGCCAAGUCUGAUGUGAAAGGCCGGGGCUCAACCCCGGGACUGCAUUGGAAACUGGCAUGCUGGAGUGCCGGAGGGGCAAGCGGAAUUCCUAGUGUAGCGGUGAAAUGCGUAGAUAUUAGGAGGAACACCGGUGGCGAAGGCGGCUUGCUGGACGGUAACUGACGUUGAGGCUCGAAAGCGUGGGGAGCAAA
rnacentral:rRNA from 1 species